rnacentral:rRNA from 1 species
GACGUCAAAUCAUCAUGCCCUUUAUGUCCUGGGCUACACACGUACUACAAUGGCUGUUACAGAGAGAAGCGAAGCAGUAAUGCGGAGCAAACUUAAAAGACAGUCUCAGUUCGGAUUGCAGGCUGCAACCCGCCUGCAUGAAGUCGGAAUUGCUAGUAAUCGCGAAUCAGCAUGUCGCGGUGAAUACGUUCCCGGGCCUU